rnacentral:rRNA from 1 species
AUUGAACGCUGGCGGCAGGCUUUACACAUGCAAGUCGAACGAGUGGCGGACUGGUGAGUAAUCUCUCGGACACUGCCCGAUGGCGGGGGAUAACUACUCUAAACAGUAGCUAAUACCGCAUACUAUUGGAUCUGCCCAUAUGGGAUUAGCUAGUUGUUUGGGUAACGGCUCACCUAGGCGACGAUCCCUAGCUGGGCUGAGAGGAUGACCAGCCAAACUGGCACUGAGACACGGGCCAGACUACUACGGGAGGCAGGAGUGGGGAAUUGUGGACAAUGGGCGAAACCCUGAUGAAGCCAUGCCGAGUGUAUGAAGAAGGCCUGCGGGUUGUAAAGUACUUUUGGCGGGGAAGCGUUACUCGCAGAAGAAGCACCGGCUAACUACGUGCCAGCAGCCGCGGUAAUAC